GUCAACCUCCAUUGCCUGGGCAGCUUUGGCUUUUGUCAAUGUCAAUUUGGUCUUCACCUUUUUCUUCCUUAGCGAAAAUCCACUUGAAACCUUCUUUGUAUUGUUCUUCCCGUCAACUUUCAUCUUAUUCUUCUUUGCUUGUAGCUUCUUCUCUUUCUUUUCCUUCAGUUCCUUCUCUUUUUGAAGCUCGAACUCAUGCUGUCUCUUUCUGCGAGCUAAAUUGUUCUUCUUCGACAUUCUGAGCUGUCUUAAUCGACCAACACCCUUUG
rnacentral:misc_RNA from 1 species